rnacentral:piRNA from 1 species
UGACAAAGAACAUGGUGCUAUCUGGCA